rnacentral:misc_RNA from 1 species
GGUUGGAUCAUUAAAAAAAUUCUCUCGGGUCUCGUCAACCCGGGGGAGACUAGGGGACUCGUCCGAGCUAAGCGCGGCCGGGUAACUUUGGUCUAUAAACUAAACCUAACCUAAUCGUGAUAUCUAAAACGCACAGUGUAUAACUUUAAAACCCGAACUAACCGGUCGGACCGAAGCGAGAGGGGAGGAAGGAGAGAGAGGGGAACCUGUAGAGCUCGAAUACCAAUUAUCGAGACUCGAGAGGACACGACCCCCUUCCGGAACCCCCGAUCGUGGAAGCGAGACCAAAGAGCGAGCGAUCUCUCUAUAAACUAAAAAACAACCUUAAUCAGCGGAUGUCUCGGUUACCCCUUCGAUGAAGAGCACGGCAAAAUGUGAUAAUUAUUGUGAAUUGCAAAACCAGCGAAUCAUCGAGUUCUUGAACGCACUGCGCCUUGUGGCCUCGGCCGCUCGGCAUACCAUUUUCAGCGGCUUGCAAUAUAUGCCAUUCGUGGCGAUUGGUCUAAGUAGAGGGAGACCCCUACCCCGAUCUAAGUCUAACGGGUUCUAGUGAAAUUCAAUCAAUCAGGUUUUUUUGAGGUGCCCCUCGUGAUUUGCAUGUGUAGUCCCCUCCCUUCUCGUGAGCUCUAGGGCCGAGUCGGGGGACAGGUGCCCCCUAAUAUAUUCUGCGUGGUCUUCCCUCUUCUCGUGAGCUCUCUAGGGCCGGGUCGAGCGAUAGGUGCCCCCUAAUUUAUUUUGAGUGGUCUUCUCUCUCCUCGGGGCCGAGUCAUCGGCCGGGGAGAGGGGCGGGUUCGCCUUGCAAUGAACAAGCGUGGUCUUCUCUUCUCGGGGCCGAGUAAUCGGCCGGGGGGAGAUCUCUCCUUGGGGCCAUAGGCCGAGGAGGGGGAAGGAUUCCUGAGCGAACGAAGCUAAGUAACUAUACCCAAAGUGCGGUGAGAAAAGGAGCUCUCGAUUAUCGAGAAGGCCAGGGGAAAGCGAAAGCCGGACCCAGUAAACCUUCUCGAGAGGCGAGCUCUCCCUACUAUCUCCGCUAGUGAAUUCUAUCUAGUAAUUCUAGUUCCACCAAACCUCUCUCUCCUCUCGAUUAUGAGGGGGUCUCUCGCUUUGAAAGAGCCGAGGGUACGGAGGGUCUCAGAAAGGUCGUGCUUUUAAUUAUUCGAACUCGGUCUCAGUUAUCGCACUCGCCCACGCAGGGAGGGGGGAACUGAGCCCGGUAGUAGGAGAGAGCUCGGCUGAUCCAUUAUGAGGCCCUUCCCGAUCCCGAGGACACGUACUUUCAUAAAUAUAUUAUCAAGGCGAGGGGUCCCGGAGUCCCGAGAAAGAGGAGGCGCUAAUGGAACGAAAAGUGACCGGUAGAUUUUGCGACCGCAAUGCCCUGAGAAUGGUAAGACCACCCGGAGGAUUUAAGCAUAUCAAUAUCCGGAGGAAAAGAAACUAACGAGGAUUCCCCUAGUAACUGCGAGUGAAGAGGGAUGAGCUCAAGCCUAAAUCUACCAGGCUCCGGCCUGGUCGAAUUGUAGUUUUGUGGGAAGGGUCUCGGUCGGGGGGAAGGAGCGAAUUCGUCUGGAACGGCGAACCGUAGAGGGUGAAAGUCCCGUACCUCCUUUUCUUCGGCCAUCAGAGUCCCGACUCGAAGAGUCGUACACCUUGAGAUUGGUGUGCAAAAAGGGUGGUAAACUCCAUCUAAAGCUAAAUAUUGGGGGGUAAUCCGAUAGUGCAAAAGUAGCGUGAGCGAAAGAUGCAAAGAACUCUGGAGAGAGAGUUAAAAGUACCUGAAACUGACUAAGGGGAAGCGAUCGGUCGUAGCCACACGGGGUGUCUAGUCCAAGUUGGGUUCGUCUAGGCGGGGGGAAGAUUAGGGGGCGAUAGUCCCCGGUCCAACUUCGUCGAAAGCGGGCUUGAUGGAAAGCUAGGCUCCUCGGUCAAUGGGGAUUGGUAUCAUGGUCGAAGAAAUUACUUCGGGGAAAGCCGUUUGUCAGGCGGUGGCUCCCGAGGUAACUAUUCGGCCUGGCCGGUCCUAGCAUUAAGCUCAUCCUGGGGGCCGUAAGGCGAGACAGAUUUCGACGUCGGGUCUCUCGGGUCGGGUACUACUUGUAGUGUCCGGUUCGGGGGGUCCUUCAUAGGGGUUGAGUCUCACCCUGGGGGUAUUGAUCGUGCGAGAUUGAUUGUCCCGUCUUGAAACACGGACCAAGGAGUUUAUCGGUGUGCCGAGUCUAAGAGCGUGAAAAACUUUUAGGCGAAGCGAAAGCAUAGGGAACCUAUCUGGCUUCGGCCGGCCGCAGUUCCGUUCUCUCUUCGGGUUUACUCGAUGAGGGAAAAGGAGGUGCACCGAUAAGACCCGAAAGAAGGUGAACUUUACCUGUAUAGGUUGAAGCCGAAAGAAAUUUCGGUGGAGGAUCGUAGCGAUACUGACGUGCAAAUCGUUCGUCGAAUAUGGGCAAAGCGGCGAAAGACUAAUCGAAUCUUCUAGUAGCUGGUUCCUUU